rnacentral:lncRNA from 1 species
CUGGUUGAGCCACUGUGCCUGGAUAUGCCAGAGGAAAGGGUAACAUUUGAACCAGUGUGCUGCUCUGUGGCUGGCUGAGCUGGGAAGUGGAGAGGUUUCUGAGCUUAUUUCCAUCGGAAGGCAAGCAGGAGGAGAGAGGACAAGAAGGAUUAGUGGUUUCACAGAGACAGGCUUGCCUCCAAUGACUCCCUGCACAGUGUUGGCUGCACCCAACAGUGGCAUGGGAGAGCCAUCCAUACCAUGUGACCUUCCCCCCCAAAUGGCAGAAAGAGACACCUUCUAGCCCAGAUCUGAACUCCCUAAGAGCCUCCUGGCCUGCAUGCGAUCCAAGUAACUGUCCUACUUUGGCCAGUUGACCCCCCUCAACUCUCCUAUAACUAAAACAGGGUUCUUCCUCUGUGAACAGAUAAGUUCUUUUUAAAGGACUUGGGGGAAAUUGGAUGAAGAGCAGUAAGUUCUUAUAGUAAGAACCCCACUGUAAAGCACUGUGCUCUGCCACUGGUGCAUGUAGACUGAACUUGAAUCCCAUUCCCUGUGGAUGACUCUGUCACUUGCUUAUGGUGACAUGGCAAGACAGUCAUUCAGAUGUUUGGCAUUGUUGUAGCAGGGCUACUGCCAGUGUGGGGGAAAAUGCUAUAAAUCCACUUCUUUGAUUGCCAUGGAUUUGAAAGAACCAUUUCCCCAACAGCAUGAUUAGCCUCUGAAAGUCUAAAAAUAAUUUUCAAUUUUUCCGUGAAGGUAUGUGUAGGAUAGACACACAGCCUUACCCAUAGGUCUGAAUGACAUGUUUUUUCUUGUUUUUUUUUGUUUGUUUGUUUUGUUUUGUUUUGUUUUGUUUUUUUUGAGACGGAGCUUUGCUGUUUGUUGCCCAGGCUGGAGUGCAGUAGUGCAGUCUCAGCUCACUGCAACCUCUGCCUCCCGGUUUUUCAAGCAAUUCUCCUGUCUCAGCCUCCCGAGUAGCUGGGAUUACAGGCGCCUGCCACCACACCCAGAUGAUUUUUGUGUUUUUGCAGGAACCCAGUCUAGAUAGAGUGCAGUGUUCUCUAAAGCUAUGGAUGGUUUCAGUGAAAUGUCUGUGUCUGACAAUCGUCACGCAAGAGUACUACUUACUGUCUUCCCUUGUACAUACAUUGUCUGUGUUUAGCUUUUCCUAGUAUUGUGAGGUUUCAAAUAGGGGUUCCAUGUAAAUACUCUUUCUGCUACUGAAAUGCCGUCCCCUUGGAGUAUGCAUCACCCCCACAAAUGGUUUUGCCUUUCUCUAUGCUAACACUUUUUGAGCCACUGAUGUGCAGAUUGAUGGUUAGUUUCUUGGGCUUUUAUUUUGCAAUUUUAUAUAUAUACACAUAUAAUAUAUAUAUAUUUAAGGGUUGGUUUUGUAUAGUUUUCUGUUUGAAUCUCUGAGCACCAAAGCUGCCCUUUGAUUUUUCACGAGAACUUUCCAAAGCCACUUCCUGAGCCCUCCUGCUGCUUUGGUGUCUGACGGUGAUGCUGGGGUGGCAUCUCUGCCCGUGAAUUUCUGUAUGUGUGUGCUGUUACCUCACCUGCAGAUAUGACCCGAGUAAAUCUAAUGUGCUUG